GGGUGUUAUGGUGAUGGAUCAAAGAGAGUUGAAGAUGCUUCCUUUGACAUCUGGAGUGAUGUGACAAGUCAGGGAGUGCCAGCAGCCAUCAGAAGCUGUGGAUUCUUUACCAGAUGAGCCACAAGGGAAGCCCAAGAAUACUGGAAUGGGUAGCCUAUCCCUUCUCCAGGAGAUCUUCCCAACCCAGGAAUUGAACCGGGAUCUCCUGCAUUGCAGGCGGAUUCUUUACCAACUGAGAUAUCAGGGAAGCCCAAAUAGGGAUAUAAGAGAAUGAUGGAAUUAGCACUGAUGACCUAAGAGUUCACUGCAUUUAUGAUUCUAACUGAUCCAGUGUGUGCAGACAAUUCAAUACACAACUGUUCCAGCCCUCUCUGAAGCCCCUACUUUUUGUCUCUGAAGGGAGGCUGCAGUAUUCAGUGGCAUCUGUGUGCUAAAAAGGAAUUUGCCUGAGACGAUCUUAAGGUAGAUCAACUUUGAGAAUCUGGUCUCAAAGGAAAAUAUGACUAAAAUUUCUGAAGAUAGAUAUUUACUUUAAAAGAAUAGCCUGGCCAUCCAAAUUUUCUUCUCAGUACCAUUUGUUACCAAACAGG
ensembl:lncRNA